GACGAACGCUGGCGGCGUGCUUAACACAUGCAAGUCGAACGAGAGGACAAGAGAAGCUUGCUUCUUUUGGAAUCGAGUGGCAAACGGGUGAGUAACACGUAAACAACCUGCCUUCAGGAUGGGGACAACAGACGGAAACGACUGCUAAUACCGAAUACGCUUGGAAGACCGCAUGAUUUUCCAAGGAAAGGGUGGCCUCUACCUGUAAGCUAUCGCCUGAAGAGGGGUUUGCGUCUGAUUAGGCAGUUGGUGAGGUAACGGCCCACCAAACCUACGAUCAGUAGCCGGUCUGAGAGGAUGAACGGCCACACUGGAACUGAGACACGGUCCAGACUCCUACGGGAGGCAGCAGUGGGGAAUCUUCCGCAAUGGGCGAAAGCCUGACGGAGCAACGCCGCGUGAGUGAUGACGGCCUCGG
rnacentral:rRNA from 1 species